rnacentral:rRNA from 1 species
UAGCAUAUCAAUAAGCGGAGGAAAAGAAACUAACAAGGAUUCCCUCAGUAACGGCGAGUGAAGCGGGAAAGAGCUCAAAUUUAAAAUCUGGUUUACUUGUAAGCCCGAGUUGUAGUCUGAAGAAACGUUUUCCAUAAGCACUGAGGGCAAAAGUCCCUUGGAACAGGGCAUCAUAGAGGGUGAGAAUCCCGUCCAUGGUCUCAAGUUGUUUAUUUUGUGAUACGUUUUCAAAGAGUCAGGUUGUUUGGGAAUGCAGCCUAAAAUGGGUGGUAAAUUUCAUCUAAAGCUAAAUAUUGGCGAGAGACCGAUAGCGAACAAGUACCGUGAGGGAAAGAUGAAAAGAACUUUGAAAAGAGAGUUAAACAGUACGUGAAAUUGUUGAAAGGGAACCGUUUGAAGCCAGUCUUACUUGCUCGUGAUCAAUUUUUGCCUCGGCAUGAAUGCACUCUCGGGUAUGGUAGGCCAACGACAGUUUAGAAUGCGAGAAAAAAAUUUGGGAAAUGUGGCCUUCGGGUGUUAUAGUCCCUUAUAAAAUAUCGUGUUCUGGACUGAGGAUCGCAGCAAAAACGUGGGCAGGUGGAUUUCUGUGGUAACUGUCGGUUAGGACAACUUGUUGACCUAGUCUUCCUUAGCCUCACUAUUUACCUUGCUUCUAAUUUGCUUAGGUCGUUGGCAUAAUGGCUUUAAAUGACCCGUCUUGAAACACGGACCAAGGAGUCUAACAUAUAUGCGAGUAUUUGGGUGGCAAACCCAUAUGCGCAAUGAAAGUGAACUAGGUGCCAAACCUUCACGGGUGGCAGCAUCGGCCGGCUCUGACGUUUUAACUGACGAGUCUGAGCAGAAGCAUACAUGUUGGGACCCGAAAGAUGGUGAACUAUGCCUGAAUAGGGUGAAGCCAGAGGAAACUCUGGUGGAGGCUCGUAGCGAUUCUGACGUGCAAAUCGAUCGUCAAAUUUGGGUAUAGGGGCGAAAGACUAAUCGAACCAUCUAGUAGCUGGUUCCUGCGA